GACGAACGCUGGCGGCGUGCCUAAUACAUGCAAGUAGAACGCUGAAGAGAGGAGCUUGCUCUUCUUGGAUGAGUUGCGCACGGGUGAGUAACGCGUAUGUAACCUGCUUUGUAGCGGGGGAUAACUAUUGGAAACGAUAGCUAAUACCGCAUAACAAUGUAUGACACAUGUCAUUUAUUUGAAAGGGGCAAUUGCGCCACUACAAGAUGGAUCUGCGUUGUAUUAGGUAGUAGGUGAGGUAAUGGCUCACCUAGGGGACGAUGCAGAGCCGCACUGAGAGGGUGGUCAGCCAGCCUGGGAGUGUGACCCGGCACAGAGUGAUUCGGGAAGGAGCAGUAGUGAAUCUUGGGCAAGGAGGGCAGAACUGAGCGAGAAACGCGGCGUGAGGGAAGAAGGUUUUCGGAUCGGAAAGCUCGGUUGUAAGUCAAGAACGGGUGUGAGCGUGGAAAGUUCACACAGUGACGGUAGCUUACAAGAAAGAGACGGCUAACUACGUG
rnacentral:rRNA from 1 species